rnacentral:tRNA from 1 species
CGCGGGGUGGAGCAGUCUGGUAGCUCGUUGGGCUCAUAACCCAAAGGUCGUAGGUUCGAAUCCUAUCCCCGCUA